rnacentral:misc_RNA from 1 species
GAUGAAGAACGCAGCGAAAUGCGAUAAGUAAUGUGAAUUGCAGAAUUCAGUGAAUCAUCGAAUCUUUGAACGCACAUUGCGCCCGCCAGUAUUCUGGCGGGCAUGCCUGUUCGAGCGUCAUUUCAACCAUCAAGCCCUGCUUGCGUUGGGGUCCUGCGGCUGCCCGCAGGCCCUGAAAACCAGUGGCGGGCUCGCUAGUCACACCGAGCGCAGUAAUACAUCUCGCUUUGGGCGUGCGGCGGGUUCUUGCCGUUAAACACCCCCUUUUUACCAAGGUUGACCUCGGAUCAGGUAGGAAUACCCGCUGAACUUAAGCAUAUCAAUAAGCGGGA